GUUAGGAAUAUUGGACAAUGGGCGCAAGCCUGAUCCAGCCAUGCCGCGUGAGUGAUGAAGGCCUUCGGGUUGUAAAGCUCUUUAGCCGAUGAUUAUAAUGACUGUAGUCGGAAAAUAAGCCCCGGCUAACUUCGUGCCAGCAGCCGCGGUAAUACGAAGGGGGCGAGCGUUAUUCGGAAUCACUGGGCGUAAAGCGUGCGUAGGCGGCUUUGCAAGUUGGGAGUGAAAGCCCAGGGCUCAACCCUGGAAUUGCUCUCAAAACUGCAAGGCUCGAAUUCGGGAGAGGAUAACGGAAUUGUCAGUGUAGCAGUGAAAUGCGUAGAUAUUGACAGGAACACCAGUGGCGUAAGCGGCUAUCUGGACCGAUAUUGACGCUGAGGCACGAAAGCGUGGGGAUCAAACAGGAUUAGAAACCCCAGUAGUCC
rnacentral:rRNA from 1 species